rnacentral:tRNA from 1 species
CCGCCGCUGGUGUGGGGCAUGCCGUUCGUGACGACGACGGCGACUGACUAUCCCACCAAGGGUUUUGUUGUUCGUGACAACAGCGGCGAC